rnacentral:rRNA from 1 species
UACGUAGGGCGCAAGCGUUGUCCGGAAUUAUUGGGCGUAAAGAGCUCGUAGGCGGCUUGUCACGUCGGAUGUGAAAGCCCGAGGCUUAACCUCGGGUCUGCAUUCGAUACGGGCUAGCUAGAGUGUGGUAGGGGAGAUCGGAAUUCCCGGUGUAGCGGUGAAAUGCGCAGAUAUCAGGAGGAACACCGGUGGCGAAGGCGGAUCUCUGGGCCAUUACUGACGCUGAGGAGCGAAAGCGUGGGGAGCGAACAGG